UUACUGUUUACUAUAAAAAAUAUCGCUGUGCUUGAUGCACUAGUGCAUUCUAAAGAUUUACCACCUUAAGUAAACAUGUAAAUAAGGCAACAAGGCGAUGAAAAAAGUCGUUAAGAUUAACUAAUCCUAUUGGUUCGCGAAUCGUUGCAAUCCCCCUGCUAAUUCUAAGCUGAUGAAUAUAAGUAAGGCUCAGUGCACUCGUUCUAAACUGUAAGGUAAAUCGAGCAAGACGAACAGUAGUUUGAAUCGAGAAAAAGCUUCAUAAAAAUAAACCUAAUUUUUCGUCGUACGAUGAUAGCCCGCAGUGUGAGCUGGUUUGGUUUAUUAGUUGUUUUUUACAUCCUGACGUGUGAUACAACAGCGGAAAUUGCCCUUGGCUGCCCUGGGUAUACCUUAUUUGACGGUACUUGCUGUCUGAAUUUAAUAAAAUAUAAUUGCAUAAAAGAGCCUGUUCCCUUGGAAUAUGAAAUUGUUGGAAGUGCUACUAUUAAUUUUUGUAGACCAGUCUAUACUAAUAACUGCACCAAAAUCGAUGGACAUAUUUUCGACGACAUAUCAGAUUGCUGUAUGAAAUGCCCUUCUCUAAUAUGAGCGGGAUUUAUAAGUCGUUCAAUAAUAAACGAACUAACGAUGAUUCCAAUAUUCUAAAAUUGUAAUAUCAUACUUACAUAUAUAUUACAUAUUAAUGAUGCAUAAGAUGUAUUCCUACCGAAGCUGUUGGAACUAAUACUGUUAAUGUUUGUUAGCUGUUCGUUAUCAAUAACUGCAUCGAAAUGACGAGAAGAUAUCAGAUUUCGACAAAAUGUCAGAUUAAUGUAAGAAUUGCACUUUCCUAAUAUGAGCGGGAUUUAUAAAUUGUUCAGUAGUAAACAAA